UACGUAGGGUGCGAGCGUUAAUCGGAAUUACUGGGCGUAAAGCGUGCGCAGGCGGUUUUGUAAGCCAGAUGUGAAAGCCCCGGGCUCAACCUGGGAAUGGCAUUUGGGACUGCAAGGCUUGAGUGCGGCAGAGGAGACUGGAAUUCCUGGUGUAGCAGUGAAAUGACGUAGAUAUCAGGAGGAAUACCGAGUGCGAAGGCAGGUCUCUGGGCUGACACUGACGCUCAUGCACGAAAGCGUGGGGAGCAAACAGG
rnacentral:rRNA from 1 species